GCUGUUUUCAACAUUAAACUAGAACACACAUACUCACAAUACCUUCUGGCCGCCGCCCCCCAAGGGGACCAAUCAUAUGGGAUAACCAUUUUCCCUCCAAGAUUCAAAUAUAUUGGAGGGAAACCAUACAAAAUGGCCUACCCUCCUAGCCCUAUCACAACAGACCUACUCACAACACUACUUACUGAUUGGUGGUUUGAGCCUUGGGGGAGGGGCACACAUCCCCUCCUCCAACACUUUAUAACCACCAGAGCUGUCGGUCUUGUCCACACAUCCUCUGAAGAAGCAUCGACCAAUGCGAAACGUCAGGAUCCUAAAUACUACUCAACGGUACGUCAGCUUAGACUCUUUUAUCUUUUAAAACUCUGGUUUUAAAGCAGCCUUGCUUUUUAACUAUUAGAAGAUUUGUUUUUAACUAUUAAAGCUAGUUUUUUGAAUGUCCUGGGGGGCUGCUGCCUGAGGCCUUCCUUAUGCUUAAAACAAUUGACUCUUUCCACACUCUGGUAUUUAAACAGCCUUGCUUUUAACCAGUUGGGUCUUUUGUUUUUGCCUUUUAACUAAGCCACUCGUUCCAAAAACACCCUGAGUGGCUUUUGCCUUAAGCCUUUCCCCGUUUUUAUUAAGCAAUAGACUCCUAUCCUCUAAAAAACUCUGGUUUUAAAGCAGCCUGGCUUUUAACCAGUUGGAGUAUUGUCUUUUUUUGGUUUUUGGACUAAAAAGCUAUCGGUUUUAAACAGAGCUUAGAACAUCAAACAAUAGACUCCUAUCUUCUAAAAACUCUGGUUUUAAAGCAGCCUGGCUUUUUACCAGUUGGAGUAUUGUCUUUUUGAUUUUCUUGCUUUUUGAUUCUUUGUUUUUUGGACUAAAAAGCUACUAGUUUUCAACAAAGCUUAUAGCACUAAACAUCCUGAGGGACUUCUGCCUAAGCCUCUCCCCCUAUUUUUUUAAACAACACUCCUAUCUUUUAAACUCUGGUUUUAAGCGGCCUUGCUUUUACCAGUAGGAGUUUUGUAUCUGACAAAGACUCCUAUCUUCUAAAAACUCUGGUUUUAAAGCAGCCUGGCUUUUUACCAGUUGGAGUAUUGUCUUUUUGAUUUUCUUGCUUUUUGAUUCUUUGUUUUUUGGACUAAAAAGCUACUAGUUUUCAACAAAGCUUAUAGCACUAAACAUCCUGAGGGACUUCUGCCUAAGCCUCUCCCCCUAUUUUUUUUAAACAACACUCCUAUCUUUUAAACUCUGGUUUUAAGCGGCCUUGCUUUUACCAGUAGGAGUUUUGUAUCUGACAAAGACUCCUAUCUUCUAAAAACUCUGGUUUUAAAGCAGCCUGGCUUUUUACCAGUUGGAGUAUUGUCUUUUUGAUUUUCUUGCUUUUUGAUUCUUUGUUUUUUGGACUAAAAAGCUACUAAUUUUCAACAAAGCUUAUAGCACUAAACAUCCUGAGGGACUUCUGCCUAAGCCUCUCCCCCUAUUUUUUUAAACAACACUCCUAUCUUUUAAACUCUGGUUUUAAGCGGCCUUGCUUUUACCAGUAGGAGUUUUGUAUCUGAUAUUGCUUUUAAUUUAUUUUUUUCUUGUGAUCCUCCUCCCGGCUGGGACGAGGUUAUCAGAGACUUAUUUCCUAAAAAUCCUUUUUUGGAAAACUUAUUAAUUAAUUAUUUUUCUGGAGACCUCCCCCCCGCUCUUGGUUAUACUGAGACGUUUUUUUUGGAGUUCCCUUCUUUUACUAGGAUACACCUGGAACUCAUCCUCAUCCUCCUGGACCACUGCCCAACACCAACCCAGCUCCAACUUGGGAGGCCCAGCCAACUACUGGACCAAGGAGACCUACACUACCAGGGAUACCCACCAGGCAACAACCAAAGGCACCUGAACCCCAUUCUGCUGGACCACUGCCUUAACGUCACCCCAGCUCCAACUAGGAAGGCCGAGGAACAAGCCAUCAGCCAUUUACUGGACAAAGGUGACCUCCAACUACACUACCAGGGUUGGAGGGCUCCCUCUCCACCAUCCCGGAAUUAUCCGAUGAAGAGGAAUUCCCACCACUACCAGUCAUCAGUGUUGCUGGUCCCCGGACUGGCACAAUGGAACAGCGAGGAGCCCCGACAACCAUAACGGGAGGGUCACCUAACAUGAUGAGCGGGCAAUUAAAGGCUAAUAUUGCCACUCAAGCCGUAUCUGAGACCUCCCUACCACUUCUCCGCGGAAGUCCACCUCCCACUUGUGCCGUUCGGGGGUCCAGCACACCUCCACCCCCCGAGGAUAGCCCCACAGGACCCUCCUCCACCUCCUCCCCAUUCAGCCUACCACCACACACUCCCACAUCAGGUAAAUACCAUCCCACAUCACACAUCGCCCGACACACCAGGAAACUCCAGGACUGGUCUUUCAAAAGCCGUAGACCAGUCCUGGUGUUGGGGGAUUCCAACAUCAAUCGAAUCCCCCCCCACAACAA